GCCGAUGAUGAGUUGCCCUGUGAAUGAGAUGUAGAGUGCUCCAAGUCCCUGAAUUUUAGGGAGAACCUACUUGGGGUCCUACAUUGGUACGAGAUAUAUGGGCUUUCACUGAGGU